CCUACGGGCGGCAGCAGUGAGGAAUAUUGGUCAAUGGGCGAGAGCCUGAACCAGCCAAGUCGCGUGAAGGAUGACGGCUCUACGGGUUGUAAACUUCUUUUGUCAGGGAGCAAUUGGGUCCACGCGUGGGCUUAGCGAGAGUACCUGAAGAAAAAGCAUCGGCUAACUCCGUGCCAGCAGCCGCGGUAAUACGGAGGAUGCGAGCGGUAUCGGGAUUUAUUGGGUUUAAAGGGUGCGGAGGAGGAAUAUCAAGUCAGCGGUAAAAAUUCGGGGCUCAACCGCGUCGUGCCGUUGAAACUGAUGGUCUUGAGUGGGCGAGAGGUAUGCGGAAUGCGUGGUGUAGCGGUGAAAUGCAUAGAUAUCACGCAGAACUCCGAUUGCGAAGGCAGCAUACCGGCGACCAACUGACGCUGAAGCACGAAAGCGUGGGGAUCGAACAGGAUUAGAUACCCUUGUAGUC
rnacentral:rRNA from 1 species